UUGCGCGUUAGUUUCCCUCAUUUACAAAUAAUAGGAGUGAACCGUCUUUCCACAUCUAUAGUUUUUGGUUCAAGACAUUUUUAUCUUAUUUUGUUUUCCUUGUUACCACUUUUUUUUUUUUUUUUAACUGUUACCACAAUGCGCGCGCAACUGCAGUGCAGUGACGUAACUGUGACGUCUCCUCCCAAAUGGUCCAUAUACUUGCUCAGUUGACGCGGCUGACUGGAGUGACUGCGAUUCGCAAAUAAAACCACCAUCCGAGGAAAUCCAGCGAAGUUGUGAGUUUGUCUAACUCUACAGGAGCUAACUACUAGGAGCCACAUCCAUUGUGAUUUCAAAAGAAUCCACUCCUGUUUUUCUACAGUGAAUCUUCCACUGGGCUUGAAAGCCCCAAAAUGGCAGAAUCUCUUUUUGAUACUCAAAGUCCUUUAAACUGCCCGAUCUGCCUGAAUCUGCUUAAGAACCCAGUGACGACGACUUGUGGUCACAGUUUCUGUAUGGACUGUAUUAAGAGGUGCUGGGAUCUGGGAGCUAUUCGAGGUGUUUACAGCUGCCCUACAUGCAGGAAGAGAUUCAACAAAAGGCCAGCUCUCGGCAAAAGCAAGGUACUGGCUGAUAUUUUAGAGGGAAUGAAGCAGGAAGCUCCAGCUGGACCUGGAGACGUGAAGUGUGAUGUUUGCAAAGGAAGAAAAGUGAAAGCCAUCAGGUCUUGUUUGGUUUGUAUGGCUUCUUACUGCCAAACUCACAUCCGUCCUCAUUUGGAGUCUAAAGCUUUUAAAAUACACAAGCUGGUUAAAGCUUCCCCAAAUCUACAGCAGCAGAUCUGCCCUCAACAUCAUAAAGCUCUGGAGGUUUACUGCUAUAAUGACCGGAAGUGUAUUUGUGUGGUUUGUAUGGGGAAUCAACACAGUGGACAUAAAAUGGUCUCAGCUGCAGCUGCAAUGGCAAAGAAACAGGAGGAACUGAAAAUAAAAAAGAGGGAUUUCAUUCAGAAAACCAACAACUUGAAGAAGGAGGUUUAUCAGUGUAAGAAAGCUGUGAUCUCUUAUAAGCGCUCUGCACAGGCAGCAGUGGAGCACAGCGACAAGAUCUUCACUGAGAUCAUCUGCUCCAUUCAGAAGAGACAAGCUGAGGUGAGAGAGAACAUCAGAGCUCAGGAGAACAAGGAGGUACAAGAUGCAGAGAGUCACAUACAGACACUGGAGAAGGAGAUCUGUGAACUACAGAAGGAGAACCGUAAACUGGAGCCGCUUUUGCAGACAGAGGAUCACGUUUACUUCUUCCAGUGGCAGAAGUACUCUUUCUCUUCUGGAGUUUCCCAGCACAGUUCAUCCAGCGACGUUGGUAACCUGACAUUUGAGAGAGUAGAGCAGUGUGUCUCAGAGCUGAAAAGCCAGCUGGAUGAAGUCUGUGAGGAGCACAUGGGUGAAAUAUUUGAUGAAGUUGCUGAUGUCCUAAUAUUCCAGGAUGAUUACCUCUCUGAAGAGGAAGAAGAGAUGGAUGACGAGGAAAUGUGGGACGAUGUUGAGGAUGAAAUGCUUCCUGGUAUAUAUUGAUGACCCUUCAAAACAUCUGGACAUCAUCAUUCUUUGCUAUUGUAAAAUAAAAUAUGUGAGCGCCAAAAUUGGAGAUGGUCUUUACUAGUGCUGGGUGGUUUGACCAAAAAUCUCUAUCACAGGUUUUUUUUUUUUUUUUUUUUUUUUUUAAAGAUUCUGGCUGUUUCACGGUAUGUCACGUUUUUUUUGCACUGGUCACUCGGAUAUACAUCAAAAUAAGGGGGGGAAAAAAAGACUAUCGCACCUUUCAUGCUGACUUUAAAAAUAUAGGCCUACAAAUUUUUUUCCCAAACUAAAACUCAUUGGCCCCUAUUCAUUAACGUUUGAUCAUUGCAUCAUUUUGCAAAUACAUGAGGAUAGUCUCCGCAUAAAAGACCCACGAAAGUAUGUACUUUUUCUUCACAAAAACAAUACAUACUUUUAUGGCAUAUAAGUAGGCCAAUGGUCUACUUUCACUGAGCUUUGUGAUGCACUUCUGUUUUGAAAUAUACACCAAUCAGGCAUGACAUUAUGAGCACUGACAGGUGAAGUGAAUAACACUGAUUAUCUCUUUAUCACGGCUCCUGUUAGUGGGUGGAUAUAUUAGGCAGCAAGUGAACAUUUUGUCCUCAAAGUUGAUGUGUUAGAAGCAGGAAAAAUGGGCAAGUGUAAGGAUUUGAGCGAGUUUGACGAGCCAAAUUGUGAUGCAGAGCAUCUCCUAAACUGCAGCUCUUAUGGGGUGUUCCCGGUCUGCAGUGGUCAGUAUCUAUCAAAAGUGCUCCAAAGAAGGAACAGUGGUGACCCGGCGACAGGGUCAUGGGCGGCCGAGGCUCAUUGAUGCACGUGGGGAGCAAAGGCUGGCCCAUGAGAUCCGAUCCAACAGACGAGCUACUGUAGCUCAAAUUGCUCCAGAAGUUAAUGCUGGUUCUGAUAGAAAGGUGUCAGAAUACACAGUGCAUCAGUUUGUUGUGUAUGGAGCUGCAGACCAGUCAGGGUGCCCAUGCUGACCCCUGUCCACCGGCGAAAGAGCCAACAGUGGACACGUGAGCAUCAGAACUGGACCACGGAGCAAUGGAAGAAGGUGGCCUGGUCUGAUGAAUCACGUCUGGGGAACACAUGGCACCAGGAUGCACUAUGGGAAGAAGGCAAGCCGGUGGAGGCAGUGUGAUGCUUUGGGCAAUGAUCUGCUGGGAAACCUUGGGUCCUGCCAUCCAUGUGGAUGUUACUUUGACACGUACCACCUACCUAAGCAUUGUUGAGACCAUGUACACCCUUUCAUGGAAACGGUAUUCUCUGGUGUCUGUGGCCUCUUUCAGCAGGAUAAUGCUCCUGCCACAAAGCGCAAAUGGUUCAGGAAUGGUUUGAGGAGCACAACAACGAGUUUGAGGUGUUGACUUGGCCUCCAAAUUCCCCAGAUCUCAAUCCAAUCGAGCAUCUGUGGGAUGUGCUGAACAAACAAGUCCGAUUCAUGGAGGCUCAACCUCACAACUUACAGGACUUAAAGGAUCUUCUGCUAACAUCUUGGUCCAGAUACCACAGCACACCUUCAGGGGUCUAGAGGAGUCCAUGCCUCGACGGGUCAGGGCUGUUUUGGCAACACAUUGUUAUUGAUUGGUGAUUGGUGUACAACUCAAUUUUUUCCAUUUAUGGAAGCCUGGUGUCAAGUCACCUUCAUUUAUAUAGCGAUUUUUAUAAUACAGAUUGUUUCAAAGCAGCUUUACAGGGAUAAUAGGAAAUUUGUGCAACAAAGAUUGUUUUGGCUGUACAGCAGCUCUAGAACAACGUCAUUGUCCAGCUUAAGUGUUCUCAUGUAUGUACUAGGUGCGCUGAACGCUGAACUGUAGAAGGUGUAAGUAGUUCAGUGGAGCGCAGCAGUAGUGUUCAGGUUGUAACGGGUAGAAUUCGGCACUGCCUCUUUAAGAGCAGCCCACUUUUUUUUUUUUUUCUUUUUUUUUCUCCCCCUGUCCAACUCCAUUUGCAAAAAACACGUGUAAAUCUGUUCCAUUUCUGUUGCUCAUUUGCAUUAUUUUAUUAUCUCCAGUAACACGGUUGACAGUGGAGUGACUGACACUGGUCCAAGACAGAGUGAAUCUUCCACAGGACUUAAACACCAAAAUGGCAGAAUCUGUCUUUGAUCCUGAAAGUCCUUUAAACUGCCCGAUCUGUCUGAAUCUGUUUAAGGAUCCAGUGACGACUUCUUGUGGUCACAGUUUCUGUAGUGACUGUAUUAAUAGCUUCUGGGAUCGGGAAGCUAAUCGAGGUGUUUACAGCUGCCCUACAUGCAGGACGACAUUCAACCGAAGGCCAGCUCUCAGCAGAAGCAAGGUACUGGCUGAGAUUUUGGAGGGAAUGAAGCAGGAAGCUCCAGCUGGACCUGGAGACGUGAAGUGUGAUGUUUGCAAAGGAAGAGAAGUGAAAGCCAUCAAGUCUUGUUUGGUUUGUAUGGCUUCUUACUGCCAAACUCACAUCCGUCCUCAUUAUGAGUCUGAAGCUUUUAAAAAGCACAAGCUGGUUAAAGCUUCCCCAAAUCUACAGCAGCAGAUCUGCCCUCAACAUCAUAAAGCUCUGGAGGUUUACUGCUAUAAUGACCGGAAGUGUAUUUGUGUGGUUUGUAUGGGGAAUCAACACAGUGGACAUAAAACAGUCUCCGCUGCAGCUGCAAUGGCAAAGAAACAGGAUGAACUGAAAAUAAAAAAGAGGGAAUUCAUUCAGAAAACCAAAGACAAACACAAGGAGGUUCAGCAGUUUAAGGAAGCUGUGAUCUCUUAUAAGCGCUCUGCACAGGCAGCAGUGGAGCACAGCGACAAGAUCUUCACUGAGAUCAUCUGCUCCAUUCAGAAGAGACAAGCUGAGGUGAGAGAGAACAUCAGAGCUCAGGAGAACAAGGAGGUACAAGAUGCAGAGAAUCACAUACAGACGCUGGAGAAGGAGAUCUGUGAACUACAAGAGGAGAACCGUAAACUGGAGCCUGCUUUUACAUACAGAGGAUCACGUUUACUUCUUCCAGAAUAACUCUCUCUCUUUUGGAAUUUUACAAUACAAAUCAUCCAAAAAUGUUAAUAACCUGACAUUUGAGAGAGUAGAACAAUCUCUCUCUGCGAUGAAAAGCCAACUGGAAAAAAUCUGUGAAGAGCUCAUGGGCAGAAUAUUAAGCAAACGUGUAAUAAAAAUAAGCCAUGUAAAAAAACGGAAGAGAGGACCAGAGUGGGAUCCAGAUGAAUCUACGCUGGAACAGCUUUCGGACAGUGAUGAUGACUCCGAUGACUCCACAGACAAAGAUUACACGUUUCCCGUAGAAAGCAGUUUCCCUGAGAGCCUUGAAAGCAUCUAGACAUCAUCAUCAUUUUCCUAGAUCACAAUAAGGGACCAACACUGGAGAUGGUCUGCAUCUAUAGGAGCUUUAUAGGCUAAAUUAUAAUUAGUAAUGGCUUUAAAAACUGGGAUUUGUAAACAACCGUACCUUUUCCCAGUCAAUCACCGUUGCACACACAGUUCCAUAAGCUACAGAGAAAAGACAUGCCUUUAUUUGUGUUGUGAAUAAUUUUUCAAAACAUUCAAAUUGGACAAUGAGGAGGAGCCACAUAUAAUAUUGUCAAAUUCCAGCACUAGGUGGUGCUAUAACAGAAAUGUUCUCAUAAUUCUGCAACCAUUUUAUGAUGGGAGUUGAAGUGCAUCAUUGCAUUUCUUUGUCAUAGAUAUGUUUACACAUCCUUAUUGGUCCAAAAAUCAUCUGUACAAAUACAAAAAAAUCAAAUGCUCCAAUUUCAACUGAGAAAUGUAUUAUAUUUUGUGUUGUCUUCACAUUUUGUGAUAGUCAGCCAUGAGGUGGCGCUACAAUAAGGGAAUGUAUAGACCUAUUAUGGCGUUCAAACCAGAGGCAACUUGCGCAAAUAAAUCACGCUAUUCGCGCAUAGUUGAACAUUUUGAGUUUACUCGCUUCAUUCGCGCGUGAAAUUCACUUUACAACAGACGCGAAUUCGCAAACUCUUCCACUUCUUUCUGCACACUUCCUCUGAAUAAACACAUCAACUCGUCAGCGGGAAAGUAGUUGUAAAAUACGGCGAAUAAGCUCAAUUUGCCGGCUUUAGCUUGCUGUAGUCUCAAUAUGUAUAUAUAUAUAGCUCAAAUUGAGUAAAGAGCGUUUUUUACAACUUACCAGACCUCCUCACUCACUUUCUUCCAAGCAAGAUCCGUUUUAUUCCUGUUUCUAUAAAAGUAUGAAGAUGUAUCGUACAGCUCCGGGUAUCCACGAUACAGCGACAAUGAUUUUGUCCUCCAUUGUUGUUUCGAAUUUCUGACAUCACGUCACUACUAGAGCAAGCUCCUGAUUGGUUAAUGCGGCGCGAAUAUUCGGCAAAGUUCAGAUUUUUCAAUCACACGUUACGCACGUCAAACACCCGAAACGCUCAAUUCGCGUGAAUCGCGUCAUUCGCGCUGCAGGAUGUCUAUUGCGUCUUUGCAUUGACUUAACAUGUAAAUCACUCACGCUUAAUUUAUUCACGUCUGGUGUGAACGCACCAUUAGGCUUGUUCGAGAUGCAUCAGCGCUGCGCAGACCGAUUGCCGCAUGACGUACCACGAGAGUGAUUGGAGAGCAAACAACUCUUUAUGCUUUUGAAUCACUCUCGCGGUACUUUGAUGUCAUAUGCGAUCGGUUUGCGCAGUGCCGAUGCAUCUCGAACAAGCCUUUUUUGUGUUUGCAAACAGCAUUGAUGUUUUUUUUGUGUGGGCGGAGCCUACCGGAUGGCAGAAAGUAACAGUUCUGCAGUAGCAAUCUGUGGAAGCCACGAAAUAAAAGAAUUUAAAAAAUUAAUUUCGAGUUUAUCUCACACUUCUGACUUUUUUUUUCUCGCAAAUUCGAGUUUAUACUCGUUAUUCUUUUUUAUCUCCCGCAAUUCUGACUUUUUUCCCUCUCAGAAUUGUGAUAUAAACUCACAAUUGCGAAUUAUAAAGUCCGAACUGGGAGAUAAUAAACGCAAAUGCAAGACAAAAAGUCAGAAUUGUGAGAUCUGUUAUAGGCUAUGUUUAAAAGUUAUCAAUGUAAAAUGUUACCGGUUUAAAUAUUAUUUCAUGCUGUAACUGCUAUGUAUGUAUGUCCCCUAUGAACUGCAUAUGUGAAUAUUAUUUCUGCCUUGGGAAAAAUUAUAUAUUUUAAUAACAAACUGA